AGGCGAGUGCCAUGGAAAGCCAUGGCAGGAGCUUUUCCAAAUGGUGACUGAAUGCAGCUUCGAAUUCGUAUGAGGGAAUCAUUUGCGGCAACAUCAGGACAGCAACAGAAGUAUUCUAAAAUCUAGCUGGAUUCUACCCUCCAGACCAGCAAAGAAGAUACAUGGUUGGAAGCUGCUUUUGUGCAUGGAUUCCUUUCUCAUAUUGGGAACCGUCUGCUCAGACUGAAUUCACAAGUCUGUUGAGGUGUUAGCCAGGACAAGACAACCUGCUUCAGGUACACAUUUGAAGAUUUAGCAGCAUUCUGAUGAAGUCUGGAAGACUAGCAGCAGAGAUGAAGUAAACUUUCAUUGACACCUAAUAGAGAACAUAAAAUAAAUAUUUAUUCAGCUCUUCCACUUUGAAGUCAUUGUCAAGAGCUCUAGUGAAACCCACCAGUGUCCUGCCUCUUUUCCAUGCAGAGAUAGGAAACACGAAAAGCAUUUGAUUUUAGUGAUUUCACAUUGUGGUGACAAUACUGCAAAUUGUAUCCUGCUGGCACUUCCAAGUUUGAAAGAUACCCAAGAGGAGUAAUUAUUAAUGACAUAUAAUUCUAACUGCCAGGUGUUACAAGGCAGUCUGAGCCAAGUCUCAAGUGUUGGCAGAUCUUAUACAAUGGAAUAAAUCUACUCAUAUCACAUGCGCCAGUCCAGCCCAAGGCCUUUCUUUAAACUGCUGAGAAGAACCUCUACAAAAAAGGAUUCCAAUAAAGCACAAACAUUUGCCAUCAUCUGUGAUAAAUGAUCAUUACUAGUUAUUGCAAUAGCUAUAUUGGACAAAAGGCAGCAAUCCACAGCAAGGCUGCAUGGUAUAAGGCUUUAGUCUGUGGAAUUUGGAAGACUGGUUAUGGCCCUGUGGUGAUCCAAAAUCAUUUAUGUUUGCAUUAUGCAAGGUGAGAAUGACUUGUGAAUGUAUAAUCUGUUUGACCUUAAAUGGCAGU